UACGAAGGGGGCUAGCGUUGUUCGGAGUUACUGGGCGUAAAGGGCGCGUAGGCGGCCCUCCAAGUCGGGCGUGAAAGCCCACGGCUCAACCGUGGAAUUGCGCUCGAGACUGAAGGGCUCGAGGACGGGAGAGGAUGGUGGAAUGCGUAGAGAUCCGGAAGAACACCGGUGGCGAAGGCGGUCUGCUGGGCAGUAGCUGACACUGAGGCGCGACAGCGUGGGGAGCAAACAGG
rnacentral:rRNA from 1 species